UGCAGUCGAGCGGAACGAUCCCAGCUUGCUGGGAGGCGUCGAGCGGCGGACGGGUGAGUAAUGCAUAGGAAUCUGCCCGAUAGUGGGGGAUAACCUGAGGAAACUCAGGCUAAUACCGCAUACGUCCUACGGGAGAAAGCAGGGGCUCUUCGGACCUUGCGCUAUCGGAUGAGCUUAUGUCGGAUUAGCUGGUUGGUGAGGUAACGGCUCACCAAGGCGACGAUCCGUAGCUGGUCUGAGAGGAUGAUCAGCCACAUCGGGACUGAGACACGGCCCGAACUCCUACGGGAGGCAGCAGUGGGGAAUAUUGGACAAUGGGGGCAACCCUGAUCCAGCCAUGCCGCGUGUGUGAAGAAGGCCCUCGGGUUGUAAAGCACUUUCAGUGAGGAAGAAUGCUUGUCGGUUAAUACCCGGCAAGGGAGACAUCACUCACAGAAGAAGCACCGGCUAACUCCGUGCCAGCAGCCGCGGUAAUACGGAGGGUGCGAGCGUUAAUCGGAAUUACUGGGCGUAAAGCGCGCGUAGGCGGCUUGAUAAGCCGGUUGUGAAAGCCCCGGGCUCAACCUGGGAACGGCAUCCGGAACUGUCAGGCUAGAGUGCAGGAGAGGAAGGUAGAAUUCCCGGUGUAGCGGUGAAAUGCGUAGAGAUCGGGAGGAAUACCAGUGGCGAAGGCGGCCUUCUGGACUGACACUGACGCUGAGGUGCGAAAGCGUGGGUAGCAAACAGGAUUAGAUACCCUGGUAGUCCACGCCGUAAACGAUGUCGACUAGCCGUUGGGGUCCUCGAGACCUUUGUGGCGCAGUUAACGCACUAAGUCGACCGCCUGGGGAGUACGGCCGCAAGGUUAAAACUCAAUGAAUUGACGGGGGCCCGCACAAGCGGUGGAGCAUGUGGUUUAAUUCGAUGCACGCGAGACCUUACCUACUCUU
rnacentral:rRNA from 1 species